ACAUAAGAUGGAUUUUCAUAGACUCUGGUAGGUAUAAUCAAUAAGCAAUUAGAUUGAUGUGUUCACAAAUGGGAAAUGGUCCAAACUUAUAAUAAUCCAGCUUGUCACAAGGACAAAUAGUUUUAAUAUUACAACAAAGUAACCAUAUCUUAUCCGCCACACAAAAUUGAUGUUGUUCCUUACAAUAGACAUCUGCGUUGACUAUUUGUUGUUCCUAAGCUUCUUUUAAUUAUACCUUUAUUAUUGCAUAUAGUUCUAACAAUCAAUUUGUUACAUCUUCUACCGCAAGAUUAUUAACUUUUGAAAAGUCAAAAGUAUCAAAUCUUAGAUUAUAACCUUAUUUGGAAAGAAAGAUAUUUGUUGAAUAGAAGAAUGUACCAAAUUACUAUGAACAAACUCUACGAAUAGCAAAAGAAUUGUCUAAUCAUCUUGUUA
rnacentral:lncRNA from 1 species